GGGCUCGUAGUCGAACGGUAAGACGCUACCUCCGCAAGGUAGAAACUGCGGGUUCAAAUCCCGUCGAGUCCA
rnacentral:tRNA from 1 species